GGACAGGUUGUGCCUGGGGAAGAGCAGGCAUAGCACAGCAAACUGUGCAGCAAAGGUGUUCAGGGAAGCAGCCCUUGGGAGCUGCUGCUCCAGGAAGGGAGCAGGGCUGAUGAGAACUGGGAAGCUGCCAGGAGCAGGAGCGCCAAAAACCCUGGGAGGGGUGGCCCUGAAACCUAAGAAAAAGGAGUGAGUUCAAAGACUUUUCUCUAGGUAUUUUUACCUGCCUGUUUUAAGAGAAUAAACCUUCUUAAAGGAGACUGGGAACGGCAGAAACUACUUGGAAGCUGGGGAGAAGUCCCGCCCCUUGUCACAGGUAUUGUGAAGACCAGGAGGGGGAAGAUACAACUGUAUGUUGCUUGUGCUAGCAGGAGGGCGCGCUCUUCCACCUGUGCAGGAGAACCAGGCCCAGCUGGGACUGUGGCAGGCCCAGCUGGGACUGUGGCAGGCCCAGCUGGGACUGUGGCAGGCCCAGGGCCAAGCGGAAUGUGCUGCGCCUGCCACUGGUGAUGGGAACACUAAAGGACCUCAGUCACCAUCCUCCACCAGUGCCCCUGGGGGGCAGAGGCUGGGGGACAUUGCUUAUGAAACUUUGCUGUGAAUUGGCUUUGAUGAGCAGAGCCGGUCUUCAUGUCACUGGCCAUGGCAGCAUUCCUUGUAUUCAUUCCUUGACACCUGCAAUGCACAGCAAAGCACCAGGCGUAUUUUUGAAAUUAAAGCUUUUAAAAAUCAAGGCCCUGUAGCAAAUUCCAUCAGUGAUAGUGCUGGACCUUGACACUGAGAUUCUGGAGAGAUGGAAGUCUGUUUGGGCCGUGUGACCAUAAAAGUGAAUGUGGUGUGAUGCUGCCCCCUGUUGUUACAACCUUGUGGUGUUUUUUUCCCCCCAAGUUUUUAAGCUGAAUAUACUGUAAGCCCCCCCCUUUUCAAAACUGUUAAGAAAAAUAUGGUCUGGUUGGUAGUCAAAACAUUUGAAGAAAUAUCGAGAUACAUGGGUGUGUUUUGCACAGACAGGAAACUUUUUUAAUAAAGUAAUUAUAUUGCAUAUAAAAAUGCAAAAAGUCAACAUUUAUACGCUUAUGCAGAAACAGCCAUGACAUAGCAUAGAUGCCACAACACCUCUAGCUGGUUUCCAGACGAGCAAACCUAAAGUCUGGGUAAGUGAGGCUAUGUGAAACUGUGUAAAAGAAAGGAAACAAGCCAAAGUGCAAACAUAACUCCUCACAAACACCCCCAGAAAAAGUGGCAAGAAAAAUCUGUAUCAAGCAAAAGACAGAGUAGUAAACAGCAGUGGGGGAAGACAAGAUGUACAUAGGUAACAUUGCCAAAGAAGCUGGAACAUCUGCUGAAAGAGGAGAUAGGACCUUGCUGAGCUGCUGAAGUGGUUUACUAACUGGCAAGUUCCAGAGGGUUUGCCAAAGAUAAACAAGGAAAAACUUAAAACAACAGAAAAAGAACAAAGCACAAUGGGCAGAGGACUUUCAAGAGAUGCUGAACAGACCUCAGUAACGUCACCACAUCUUCAACAAAAUAUGGGAGCAGGAAAAGUCUCCGGAACAAUGGGAACAUGGCAUUAUAGUCAAAAUAUGUCACUUUUAUUUGGUAACUGGCAAAGUGUUACAUUUUUAGGGGAGGGGCAAAGUUUUCUGCAGUAUCCUCUUAAACAUUUAUAUAGGAAGUGGUUGAGGUGAAG